CCUACGGGAGGCAGCAGUGGGGAAUAUUGGACAAUGGGCGAAAGCCUGAUCCAGCCAUGCCGCGUGUGUGAAGAAGGCCUUCGGGUUGUAAAGCACUUUCAGUGGGAAAGAAAGCCUUGGGGCUAAUACCCUCGAGGAAGGACAUCACCCACAGAAGAAGCACCGGCUAACUCCGUGCCAGCAGCCGCGGUAAUACGGAGGGUGCGAGCGUUAAUCGGAAUUACUGGGCGUAAAGCGCGCGUAGGCGGUCUGAUAAGCCGGUUGUGAAAGCCCCGGGCUCAACCUGGGAACGGCAUCCGGAACUGUCAGGCUAGAGUGCAGGAGAGGAAGGUAGAAUUCCCGGUGUAGCAGUGAAAUGCGUAGAGAUCGGGAGGAAUACCAGUGGCGAAGGCGGCCUUCUGGACUGACACUGACGCUGAGGUGCGAAAGCGUGGGUAGCAAACAGGAUUAGAUACCCCAGUAGUC
rnacentral:rRNA from 1 species